CAAUGGGCGGGAGCCUGAUCCAGCCAUGCCGCGUGCAGGAUGACGGCCCUAUGGGUUGUAAACUGCUUUUAUACGGGAAGAAACGCGCCCACGUGUGGGCGUUUGACGGUACCGUAAGAAUAAGGACCGGCUAACUCCGUGCCAGCAGCCGCGGUAAUACGGAGGGUCCGAGCGUUAUCCGGAAUCAUUGGGUUUAAAGGGUCCGUAGGCGGGCCUGUAAGUCAGGGGUGAAAGUUUGUGGCUCAACCAUAAAAUUGCCUUUGAUACUGCAGGUCUUGAGUCAUGGUGGGGUUGCCGGAACAUGUGGUGUAGCGGUGAAAUGCAUAGAUAUCACAUAGAACACCGAUCGCGAAGGCAGGUGACCAACCAUGUACUGACGCUGAUGGACGAAAGCGUGGGUAGCGAACGGGAUUAGAUACCCCGGUAGUCCACGCCGUAAACGAUGGAUACUAGCUGUGGGGACUUCGGUCUCCGUGGCCAAGCGAAAGUGAUAAGUAUCCCACCUGGGGAGUACGUUCGCAAGAAUGAAACUCAAAGGAAUUGACGGGGGCCCGCACAAGCGGUGGAGCAUGUGGUUUAAUUCGAUGAUACGCGAGGAACCUUACCAGGGCUUAAAUGCAGGCUGCAUGGGGUAGAGAUACCCCUUUCUUCGGACCGCCUGCAAGGUGCUGCAUGGUUGUCGUCAGCUCGUGCCGUGAGGUGUCAGGUUAAGUCCUAUAACGAGCGCAACCCCUACCGUUAGUUGCCAGCAUGUCAAGAUGGGGACUCUAACGGGACUGCCGGUGCAAACCGUGAGGAAGGUGGGGACGACGUCAAAUCAUCACGGCCCUUACGUCCUGGGCUACACACGUGCUACAAUGGCCGGUACAGAGGGAAGCCACCCCGCAAGGGGGCGCGGAUCUACAAAACCGGUCACAGUUCGGAUCGGGGUCUGCAACUCGACCCCGUGAAGCUGGAAUCGCUAGUAAUCGGAUAUCAGCCAUGAUCCGGUGAAUACGU
rnacentral:rRNA from 1 species